rnacentral:rRNA from 1 species
GACGAACGCUGGCGGCGUGCUUAACACAUGCAAGUCGAACGGAAAGGCCCUGCUUGCAGGGUACUCGAGUGGCGAACGGGUGAGUAACACGUGGGUGAUCUCCCCUGCACUUCGGGAUACGCCUGGGACACUGGGUCUAAUACCGGCUAUGUGCCAUUUUUAGUGUGAUGGUUGGAAAGUUUUUUCGGUGUAGGAUGAGCUCGCGGCCUAUCAGCUUGUUGGUGGGGUAAUGUCCUACCAAGGCGGCGACGGGUAGCCGGACUGAGAGGGUGGAAGGCCACACUGGGACUGAGAGACGGCCGAGACUGCGAAGGGAGGCAGCAGGGGGGAAUACUGCACCAGGGGCGCAAGCCUGAGGCAGCGACGCCGCGUGGGGGAUGACGGCCUUCGGGUUGUAAACUCCGUUCGCUAGGGACGAAGCUGUUUGUGACGGUACCUAGAUAAGAAGCACCGGCUAACUACGUG